rnacentral:rRNA from 1 species
AGAGCGAACGCUAGCGGCGAGCUUAACACAUGCAAGUCGAGCGGAGGGUUUCGGCCCUCAGCGGCGGACGGGUGAGUAACACGUAGGUUACGUGCCCUUUGGUGGGGAAUAACUUAGGGAAACCUGAGCUAAUACCGCAUAUGCCCUUCGGGGUGAAAGUCUUCGGACGCCAGAGGAUCGGCCUGCGGCCCAUUAUUUAAUCCUUGUUGGUGGGGUAACGGCCUACCAAGGGUACGAUGGGUAGCUGGUCUGAGAGGAUGAUCAGCCACACUGGGACUGAGACACGGCCCAGACUCCUACGGGAGGCAGCAGUGGGGAAUAUUGGACAAUGGGCGCAAGCCUGAUCCAGCAAUGCCGCGUGUGUGAAGAAGGCCUGCGGGUUGUAAAGCCCUGUGGGGAGGAACGAACCGUACGGGGGCGAACACCCUCCGUACCUGACGGUACCUCCUUAGCAAGCAUCGGCUAACUCUGUG